UUCUUUCCACACGGUUUCUCUUUCAUUUCUCAUUUCUUUCUUUUCUUUCCCGAUCUUUUUUCUUUCCUUUCUCGACCACACAAACACACACACACACACGCACAAACGGAGAGGCUGAGAGACCGAGAGAGAGGGAGGUCAGAGACUGGUUUUUCCGGUGGAUUGUUGGAGGGGGCGAUUUCCAGAGAAACCAGAGGGGAUUUCCUGUAGUUUCCUUAGCUUCAAGCUGAAAUUCUCAAAGGACAUGAGGAGGAAAAUCAGGAUGACCAGGGCCUUUAUGCCGAUCCUGAUAUAUAUGGAUGAGGCUGUUUAAUGAUUUAAGUUAAUAUUUGUGUAUAUAGCUGGUAGUAUUCAUUUAUAAUCAUUCAUUGUUGUAUGUAAGUUGGGUAAAUACAGUAUGGUAUUUACCUAUUUAGAAUGACAUUUGUAUUUGGUAGACUUUUUAUGUAUCUUUACGUGUCAUUAAUUUGUGGCACUUGUUUUGAUAUAUCGAGUGUACUUAUCACAUGUAAAGAAAUCUACAUAUCUAAUUAAUAUAUUGAGGUAUUUUAGUCAA